CCUGCAAUAUUUCAGCUCAGUGAGGUCACAAGGAAAACUUAGUUAAAGCCUUAUUAGAGCAGUUUACAGGAGCGCAGUACUGUGAAUAUGAAAUUAGAGUUUCGCCUUGAUGGAUGUGUCACCUACCCAAGUUGGAAUUCAGUGCCUUCUGGAGAUGCCUUUGCCUGCUGAGGAUGAAAGCUGCCUACAAAGUGCUAAAAAAUGAGAGUCCUUCAUAAGCUUUCUACACACUUUGCAACCCCAACACCUGCACAGCUCCUACACCAAUGCAGAAGAAGGUCAGAUAUAAUUCAAGGGUUCACCCUUCAACCUUACUGCAACUUGGGAAUCUCUGAACUUACUCCAGCUCCCAGGAUGAGGAACGGAGGGCUCUCACAGUGAUCCUGAAGUCUGACUUCUACCACCAAGACUGGAGAACUAGGUGUCUCCUCGUAAGGGUAAGGGUGAACCAGAAGUAAAUGAGCUCCCACGUAAGCUGAAACUCAGCUUCAAGCCAUGGGCCAGCAGCAUGUGUGAGGGACACCGCUGGAUCUCACCGUCAUGAAACUUGCUGAAACCCCAGCGAAUGGUUCCUGCUCAUCAGCCUUGUGCCAAGACUUCCUGCUCACCUGUCAGCUUGUGUUUUCCUGCAUGCCAGUCUCAGCCUCCCCUCUCCCCAGCAGGAUGUCGUCUGCUUACCAAACUUGGCCAGUGA